rnacentral:rRNA from 1 species
GAGACUCUGUGCGCGUGCAUAUCAAUAAGCGGAGGAAAAGAAACUAACAAGGAUUCCCUUAGUAACGGCGAGUGAAGCGGGAAGAGCUCAAAUUUGAAAUCUUCAAGGUUUUACCUUGACGAAUUGUAGUUUAAAGAAGUGUUUUCUGUUGAAGUUUUGGUAAAAGUUCUUUGGAAUAGGACAUCAUAGAGGGUGAGAAUCCCGUAUUUGACCAUUAUUUCCAGCUGUGUGAUACACUUUCAAAGAGUCGGAUUGUUUGGGAAUGCAGUCCAAAAUGGGUGGUAAAUUUCAUCUAAAGCUAAAUACUGGCGAGAGACCGAUAGCGAACAAGUACCGUGAGGGAAAGAUGAAAAGAACUUUGAAAAGAGAGUUAAACAGUACGUGAAAUUGUCAAAAGGGAAGCGUUUGACACCAGUGUUGUUUAGUUGAAAAUCAAUUCAAUAAUUUUUGAUUUUGAGUAGUAUUGACUUCACCAGCUUGCUGCUUUCUUUUCGGAAAUUAUUGAAUGCACUUUUCAGUUAACAAGUCAACAUCAAUUUCUUUUGUUGUAAAAGAGUCAUUGGAAGGUGGCUUUUUCUUCGGAAAAAGUGUUUAUAGCCUUUGAUCUCUGCAACCGGGGAGACUGAGGUCUGCAGCGUAGACUCUUCGGGGUUAGAUACAUUUGUGCUAAGCUAUAGCUUUUUAUAGACAACUUGUUGACUAUAUUUAGUCUUGUGGCUUACUCGCUUAUGCUAUUUUACCUACGCUUAGGAUGUUGAGUCGUAGAGCACGCAG